rnacentral:rRNA from 1 species
UACGUAGGGUGCAAGCGUUAAUCGGAAUUACUGGGCGUAAAGCGUGCGCAGGCGGUUUUGUAAGUCUGGCGUGAAAGCCCCGGGCUCAACCUGGGAAUUGCGAUGGAGACUGCAAGGCUUGAAUCUGGCAGAGGGGGGUAGAAUUCCACGUGUAGCAGUGAAAUGCGUAGAGAUGUGGAGGAACACCGAUGGCGAAGGCAGCCCCCUGGGUCAAGAUUGACGCUCAUGCACGAAAGCGUGGGGAGCAAACAGG